UACAGAGGGUGCGAGCGUUGUUCGGAAUUAUUGGGCGUAAAGAGCUCGUAGGCGGUCUGUCGCGUCGGCUGUGAAAACCCGGAGCUCAACUCCGGGCCUGCAGUCGAUACGGGCAGACUGGAGUUCGGCAGGGGAGACUGGAAUUCCUGGUGUAGCGGUGAAAUGCGCAGAUAUCAGGAGGAACACCGGUGGCGAAGGCGGGUCUCUGGGCCGAUACUGACGCUGAGGAGCGAAAGCGUGGGGAGCGAACAGG
rnacentral:rRNA from 1 species